rnacentral:rRNA from 1 species
AAUAAACGUUGGCGGCGUGGAUUAGGCAUGCAAGUCGAGCGAGAACCCUCCUUCGGGAGGGGGACAGCGGCAAACGGGGCAGGAGGACGUCGGUGACGUACCCUCAGGACCGGGAUAGUCAAGGGAAACUUUGGGUAAUACCGGAUAACAUCUGCGGAUCAAAUGGUGUGAUUCCGCCUGGGGAGCGGCUGACGCGGUAUUAGCUAGUUGGUAGGGUAACGGCCUACCAAGGCGAAGAUGCCUGGGGGGUGUGAGAGCAUGGCCCCCACCACUGGGACUGGGAUACUGCCCAGACCCCUACGGGUGGCUGCAGUCGGGAAUCUUCGGCAAUGGGCGCAAGCCUGACCGGGCGACGCCGCGUGCGGGAUGAAGGCCUUCGGGUUGUAAACCGCUGUCAGGGGGGAUGGAAUGCCUGGGAGCUAUCUCCCAGGCUUGACAGAGCCCCAGAGGAAGCACGGGCUAAGUUCGUGCCAGCCGCCGCCGUAAUAC